rnacentral:RNase_P_RNA from 1 species
GAAGUGGGCUGGACGGUCGCUGCUGUGGAGGUCUCCGUGACUGAAGCAGGGGAGGAAAGUCCGGGCUUCAUAGGGCAAGGUGCCAGGUAAUGCCUGGGCGGCGAAAGUCGACGGCAAGUGCAGCAGAGAGUAGACCGCCUAUUCCUCUCCCUAACCCUCUCCCAGAGGGCGAGGGGAUCAAGAGGUGUGGGUAAGGGUGAAAGGGUGCGGUAAGAGCGCACCGCGUGUCUGGUAACAGUUCACGGCAAGGUAAACCCCACCUGAAGCAAGACCAAAUAGGAAUCCUGAGGCACGGCCCGUGCUGGAUUCGGGUAGGUCGCUUGAGCGUAUGAGUGAUUGUACGCCUAGAGGAAUGAUCGUCCUCGACAGAACCCGGCUUAUAGGCCCACUUCUCAA